rnacentral:lncRNA from 1 species
GGCGCCACUCGAUUUUGGAUAAGGAUGAAGCCUUUUUCUCAUCCUUAUUUGAUUUCUUUUGGGUGUGAGAUGGUGGGAAGGGCAUGGGAAAUUGUGGAGAGGCAUGAGAUGGUCCUUGGGAGGCCACGAGAUGGUGUGGAAUGCAUCUGAAUGCCACUUAUAAAUAGAUGGCAUGCUCGGGAUUUCUUAUUCAUCCCAUUCUCUUCUUUCUUACAACCUUUCCACUAUUGUCCCAAUAGUUCUCUUCCUUCCCUUGUUAAGACAAGGUCCUCUUAAGGAUAAAAGGUCUGCUUUAGGAUAAGGGCUUAGAAAGAGAAUGAGGCA